rnacentral:rRNA from 1 species
AGAGUUUGAUCCUGGCUCAGGAUGAACGCUAGCGACAGGCUUAACACAUGCAAGUCGAGGGGCAGCACAGGUAGCAAUACCGGGUGGCGACCGGCGCACGGGUGAGUAACGCGUAUGCAACUUGCCUAUCAGAGGGGGAUAACCCGGCGAAAGUCGGACUAAUACCGCAUGAAGCAGGGGCCCCGCAUGGGGAUAUUUGCUAAAGAUUCAUCGCUGAUAGAUAGGCAUGCGUUCCAUUAGGCAGUUGGCGGGGUAACGGCCCACCAAACCGACGAUGGAUAGGGGUUCUGAGAGGAAGGUCCCCCACAUUGGAACUGAGACACGGUCCAAACUCCUACGGGAGGCAGCAGUGAGGAAUAUUGGUCAAUGGACGAGAGUCUGAACCAGCCAAGUAGCGUGAAGGAUGACUGCCCUAUGGGUUGUAAACUUCUUUUAUAUGGGAAUAAAAUGUUCCACGUGUGGGAUUUUGUAUGUACCAUAUGAAUAAGGAUCGGCUAACUCCGUGCCAGCAGCCGC